GGAGGGGUGGCAGAGUGGCUGAUUGCGGCGGUCUUGAAAACCGCUAGGCCGAAAGGCCUCGGGGGUUCGAAUCCUCCCCCCUCCG
rnacentral:tRNA from 1 species